rnacentral:rRNA from 1 species
GGAGUCUAGCAUGUGCGCGAGUCAUUGGGACAUUACUAAACCUAAAGGCGCAAUGAAAGUGAAGGUCCGCCUCGCGCGGGCCGAGGGAGGAUGGGCGGCCGUUGCGGCUGUCGCCCCGCACUCCCGGGGCGUCUCGUUCUCAUUGCGAGAAGAGGCGCACCAAGAGCGUACACGCUGGGACCCGAAAGAUGGUGAACUAUGCCUGGUCAGGACGAAGUCAGGGGAAACCCUGAUGGAGGUCCGUAGCGAUUCUGACGUGCAAAUCGAUCGUCGGAACUGGGUAUAGGGGCGAAAGACUAAUCGAACCAUCUAGUAGCUGGUUCCCUCCGAAGUUUCCCUCAGGAUAGCUGGCGCUCGUUGCGCACGAGUUUCAUCCGGUAAAGCGAAUGAUUAGAGGCAUUGGGGUCGAAACGGCCUCAACCUAUUCUCAAACUUUAAAUGGGUGAGAUCUCCGGCUUGCUCGAACUAUUGAAGCCGCGAGACUCGAAUCAGAGUGCCAAGUGGGCCAUUUUUGGUAAGCAGAACUGGCGCUGUGGGAUGAACCAAACGCUGAGUUAAAGCGCCUAAAUCGACGCUUAUGGGAUACCAUGAAAGGCGUUGGUAACUUAAGACAUCAGGACGGUGGCCAUGGAAGUC